AACGCGAAGAACCUUACCUGGGCUCGAAAUGCUAUGGACAGUCCGUGAAAGCGGAUCUUCCCCUUAAAAGGACCGUAGUAUAGGUGCUGCAUGGCUGUCGUCAGCUCGUGUCGUGAGAUGUUGGGUUAAGUCCCGCAACGAGCGCAACCCUUGUCCUGUGUUGCCAUCAUUCAGUUGGGAACUCGCAGGAGACCGCCAGCGAUAAGCUGGAGGAAGGUGGGGAUGACGUCAAGUCCUCAUGGCCUUUAUGUCCAGGGCUACACACGUGCUACAAUGGUCGGUACAAACCGUCGCAAACCCGCGAGGGGGAGCUAAUCGGAAAAAGCCGACCUCAGUUCGGAUUGGAGUCUGCAACUCGACUCCAUGAAGCUGGAAUCGCUAGUAAUCGCGGAUCAGAACGCCGCGGUGAAUACGUUCCCGGGCCUUGUACACACCGCGCAUA
rnacentral:rRNA from 1 species